UCCUUUCUCCCAUCUUGAUUUCCCCCAAACAUGCAUCUCAAAUCCCUAAUUGAAACGGCGCCUUCUUUCCAUCUCUCACCUUCUCCGGCGACUUAAUGCCUGGAGUGACUCCGACCUCUCUUCGUUCCCGGCGAGGACGCCGUUUCGAAUGGGUCGCCGAAUCUCACGUUUCACAAUGACGGCGCACUUGGUGUCUCCGUCUGCCCUUUCACGGCGGCUUCGGUGUUGCCGUCGGAGCCUCGCUGGUGUGCUCUUCGCGAGGGAGUCACUCCGACGCCGAUGACCCGCUUCAGCUCCCUCCGUCCGUGUUCGCAAAUGCCGUUGCUGUUCCAUUCGUCUAUCUCUCUCUCUCUCGACGAAGGCGUCGGUCCGAAAUCGCCUGUCGACGUCCGCUGUUGCUCUGCAGUGUUCGUGGGGCUGCCCUCGAUGCCCCGUCGUCGUUCGGUCAGAGCCGAACAACGCUUCUCCAAGCUAAGUUCUAUCACUUUCUUUAUUUCGUUGAUUUGUGUCUGUAAACUUAAUCGUUCAUCUACUGAAAAGAGCUUGAUAGUUGGCCUAAAAUGUUGUUCUUUUAAUUACAGAGGCUUGCUGUUGUUGUGGGGCUUUUAUCAUCAUGCCUCUAAGUUCCGACCUAGUUAGGCUGCCUAAAGCUUACUAGUGCUCUAUCGGUGUUAUGCUCAUGCUUAGCUAUGAGAUGAUGGUGUUAUGAGCAUGCUAGGUUCAUCUAUGACUUUGUGAACUAUAUGCUGUAAAACUGAACUAUUGGAGGAUUACCUGUGUGAGUUGUUAUGGCUGCUGUCUCUAGCUCGGCUCCUCCCUUCUCCUUAGCUUGUAGUGUGCUAUUGAUUGUGGUAAUGAAGGAGGAAGGGCUGAGGGGCUAUUUAUAAUGGUUUGCCUAACUGAAAGCCUGAGGAAGGCUGGUGUACUUGGCUGAAAAGGGAAAUCUCAGGCUGAGCAGCUGGCUGCUCUGUCUGCAGCUCUGCAGAGUGCACUACAACAGACUGAUUCUCCAUAUCACAAUGGCAGAUAUGAGUGAAGUACGAGCUGUAAGGAUGCAGCCUUGCAGAGUGCAGCCACUGAGAUAAAAUUCUGUUGGCUGACUUGCUUCUCUCGGCCCAGCUCUCGCUCACUUUCGAGAAGAAGCCGAGGCUGCCCUUCCUCGUGGUCUCGUCCUCUCGGGCUCGUCUGCACUUUUGGGGCUGAGACGGCUCGCGUUAAAGGCCGAGGAAGUUCACUAUGGCCUCUCGGUUGUUGUAGCUCGAUGUGAGCUCUCUUUUGUUUGUCUCAACAAGAAUGUAGUAGCUCAUGUAGUUGGUGUGUAUUUAAUUUUAAACAUUUGAAAUUCAUUAGCUUUAGAAUUUCUGAAAUUUGUAUUAAUACUCUUAUUCAAGAUUUAAACAAUACCCCUUCGUUCUUUAAUAAAAUUCUAGCAUUUUAUUUCUUAA